CUUUUUCCCCUUGGUGGCUCUGUGCUUUUUCCUGGUGUUCCAGACUGCAAGCAGGGGCGGGAGGGCGAUGGCUUCUGGAAGAGCUGGUGUAGUUUAUAACCCAAAACACUUAGGGUGGAAAAACAUGGAUUCAGGAGGCUCAGCAAAGCAGUCACCUGCACAUGUUCAUUUUGAGGAAAACCAGCAAAGUGAACCACUCCACUAGACCCUCAUUUGGACAACUUAUAAGUGGUUUUUUUUAAGCAGCUUUUUUCUCUGAAAUGUCUUUCAGUUUGAUCUUCUUGUUACUGUGAGCCAUUGGCCUUGAGGACCAGAGGCCUGGACAGUGAGUUUAGGGUAGGAUGAUAGAUGAAGUGUGUUUCCCUUUAACAUGGCAAGUGUUUGGAUUUCGUUAUUAUGCACUGGGGCAAUACACCUGUGAUGGCCUGUGUGUGUUCCAGCUCAGUAGAAAGAAAAAUUACCUUAAACUCUGCAUCUGUUUAUGAGAAGAGGUGUUUCAGCUUUAAAAUAGUUGCUGUGUGUGUGCAAGGUUUAAGUAGAGACAAUAUCAUAAUUCAUGUUCCUGCCAAGUAAAUGCAGAUUACAUUGCACUAACCUGAUAAAUAGCGGUAUCUGAGGUUAUUAGGGGGACCUACCACACGUGAUUUGUUAGGACCAGCCUGCAAAGCUUGGUCCCUCUGGGUCUCACCCGUCUCCCCUCCGUCCUACCACACCUCCUUCCUCAGGAGCGUGCCGAGGAGGGCAGAGCCAGCAUCUACCGCACCGUCUUCACCAACUCCUGCAAAGAGAUGAUGUGCUACCCCGACUUCCCUUUCCCUGACGAUCACCCCAAUUACAUGCACAACUCGAAGCUGCAGGAGUACAUCUGCAAGUAUGCCAAGCACUUCGAUCUGCUCCGGCACAUCCGCUUCAAGACCCUGGUCACCAAGAUAAAAAAACGCCCUGACUUUUCUGUUACGGGACAAUGGGAUGUCGUCACGGAAAAGGAAGGGAAGGAAGAGACUGAGGUCUUUGAUGCUGUUAUGAUUUGUUCUGGCCAUCACGUCUACCCAAACCUCCCUGCUGCCCACUUCCCAGGAAUACAGAAGUUUAAAGGCUGCUACUUUCACAGCCGAGAGUACAAAGAACCAGAAAAAUUCAGAGGGAAGAAAGUGCUGGUGAUAGGCUUAGGCAACUCAGGUUGCGACAUUGCUGUGGAGCUCAGCACCGUGGCAUCGCAGGUCUACCUGAGCUCCAGAAGUGGUUCAUGGGUGAUGAGUCGCAUCUGGGAGCACGGUUACCCAUGGGACAUGAUGAUCAUCACUCGCUUUCGGACCUGGCUGGGGAACAUCCUUCCCAGGGCGUUCAGUGACUGGCUGUAUGUGAGGAGCAUGAACCGACCGUUCAAGCACGAGAACUUUGGCCUCAUGCCAGUGAAUGGGACUCUCCGCAAAGAGCCAGUGUUCAACGAUGACCUCCCGAGCCGCAUUGCAUGUGGCGUGGUGGUGGUGAAGCCUAACGUGAAGGAAUUCAGAGAAACGUCUAUCUUGUUCCAAGAUGGGACUGUGCAGGAAGACGUUGAUGUGGUCAUCUUUGCUACUGGCUACAGCUACUCCUACCCUUUCAUGGAGGAUGACUCCAUCAUCAAAAGCAGGGACAACGAGGUCACCCUCUACAAAGACAUCCUCCCUCCUCAGCUGGAAAAGCCGACCAUGGUGGUCAUUGGGCUGGUCCAGUCUCUUGGACCCAUCAUCCCAACGUCGGAGCUCCAAUGUCGAUGGGCGGUUAAGGUGUUUCAGGGGCUGUGCAAGCUUCCCUCAGUGAGCGAGAUGAUGGAUGACAUUGAUGAGAAGAUGGGGAAGAAGCUCAAGUGGAAAUGGUAGAGGAGCAGAAGGCCACUGUUUACAAGUCAAUCACCAUCAACUUCUUCAAAGAAAUGUCAUGCUUCAGUGACUUUCCUGCGCCCAGGAAAACUCUUUCCAUAUUCUUGCACAAGACUGCGUGCCUGGAGAGGUAUGCGAGGCAUUCAGCCUGCUGAAGCACACCAGGUUUAAGUAGCUGUCCAGAGGAGCUCAUGACUCUACAUUUUUAAAAACUUCAAAGCUAAGUAAUUAAGAACUGUGUUUGUCUUAGCUUUUUCAAUGCAAUAGGAGACAACAGGUUUAACAAGGUCAGUAGCUUUUCCUUGUCAGAGUCCACAGAUUACAUGCAUGGGAAGCGCUGUGACUUAUUACUAAAUCAGGUUAAGUUUUGCUAAGGAUACGUGAGUGAAACAUGCUGCCCUCCCCCCAGGGCCUUCCUCGCCUGGUCACUGGAUCCCUCUCCCGUACUACUGGCUACUGCCCAUGCCUGUCACUCAAGGACUGUGCAAGUCCUUUGGGUCUCCUUUACAGUGAUGUUCCUCAAGAGAUUUUUAGGAAAAGUUCAAGAUAUUUCGUACUUAAGUUUGACAAAAAAGAAACACAAAUGUCUAUCUCUUACUGCAAUGCUUGAGUUGUCUUCUAUGUAUUGGGAGUAAUAAAGCAAGUAUUUCUUUUUGGAGAAGUCAGGGGAAAAAAAUGCUGUUUGGGGCAGGGUUUUUGUCUUCUGUGAAGCAGGGAAUUACCUUUUUGCCUUGGAGAAAUCACCUGUAUUCCAAAGCACAAGCAAAGACUUCCAGGAUAAAAUCUGGGCUCUCAGAAACAGGGGGAAAAAUAUUUUUCCCAUCAGCAGCUUCUCACAACCUCCUUUUGCCCCCUGUAUCAUCCCAUGGGAAGCGGCGGGAGGGGUUACAACGGCCUUUGCUGGGGCAGCCUCGUGUCCAUGUGCAAUAAGGAAAUGAUGUGGGAUUUUUUGCCUUCUGGCAAAAAAUUAGUGUGAGACAAUGAUGUCAUUGGAUAAGGGAAAAUAGACAGUGCUUCAUUACAAAUCCUGAAACGCAGAGGGUUUGCGUUACAGUUGACCCUUCCUUUACAUGGCAAAUGUUAGCAGUGCAAGAGAAGCUCUUAUCUGGCCUUGCUUAGCCCUGGUCCGCAUAAGAAAACUGCCCAUGCUGUGGGAAGAGGUGACCACUGUGAGCCUCGUGUGUGGUGAUAUGAAGAUGCUCAGUCUUUCUGCUCACUUCCCUGAUGAGCAAAGGCCCCAUGUCACAUCAGCUAUUGAGCAUGUGUCAGUAAUUAAGUUGUGAUAACUCAAGCCUGGGCUGUGGAGUACAGAUACUGAUGGGGGAUAUUUCAAUGUCUCCGAUUACACUUCUUUUUUCUUUUUGGUUUGUUUUGUUUUAUUCCUUUACCCACUGAACUCCCCCUAUUCACAAAGACUUGCUUGGUGUGUGCUGCUCUCCCAGCCUGGUGUAAGGAGCUUUUCUGCUUGUCUAAAGGCUCAUAAAUCCCAAUAAAGGCAGUGUGAGAGCACUGUAGAAAUACAAAGCGUGCUGCAGCAAAGUAUGUGAAAAGGCCAAAGAUCUUGAGCAUUGGUGGACAGAGGGUCAAAGAGCCCUUGACCGCAUGUGUUUCUGUUGACUUCAGGGUCCAGUCCCACCAGUGAGGAUGGCCUGUUGCACCCUGUCUGGGCACCCAGAACCUCACAGGUAGGACUGGCAGAAGGGGAUGAAUGGGUCAUAGCAUAGAGAGAGCCAGUUUAAGGUUCUUAGAGCUCCAGAAAGUUGGAUCUUGCACCAAUGAAGGAUGUAAUUUCGUCAGUGUAACCAGGGGAUCCAUGUGAAGAACAAUGCCAUAGGUCAAACCAAAUCUUAAUGAAUUUGGACAAGAAAAAAAGAAAAAACAUUUGCUGAAGAAGAUGAGAUGCUCCUAAAAUUUAGGCCUUCUUCCCUUCACUGAACAAGUAUUGUGCGUGACUGUGAGCAUCCCUCUUUGAUUAGAUGCUCAAAAUAUCCCAGCUGAAUUAGUUCAACCUGAAGGAUGCAGUUCAUUCUCCUUGUGUGCAGGCUAAGUGCAAACCUGUCAUGGACGCUGGAUUCCCUUAGACCCCAAUAUUGUGAAUAACCAGAGAAGGUGAAAAAUGUAGAGCCAUUUUCUGCAUUUCUCAGAUCUCAUAGAGCUUGUGGACAUAGAAAGGAACCACCUUAUCUAGGAAUCCUGUUUUUCUUAUUGACUUCACAAUGACAUGCUCUGAAGGCAGCUGACACAAGCCUAGAAAACAGCAAAGCAGGCCAUGCUAAGACUUGUCAAAAUGUAGUUUUGCCCCUCCUCAGUUCAAGGUGUUACUUCAGACAGGGGUGAUAAACCGGUGCCAGACUUUUGCAGAGAAAGUGCCUUUUCCCAGGAGAGGAAAGGAACCUGCUGAAUUCUUUCCCAUCUCAUUUAGACCAAAUAGGUUGUUUUGGUCUCUUUGCCCUCCUUGUGCCCACUCUGCUUUAGGGGUGGGGAGGGGGGGAAGGGAAGCCUUUUGCAGAGUUGAGGUUUGCAUGACAGUGACAUGCUAACAAGGUACUGGUGAGCUUUGCUCCUCAAGGGGAGAAGGGAGCUCCCCAGUAUGCAGGACUCAUGGGAGCAGCAUCCUGUGCCCAGCGCUCAGCCUGAGCGUGGUGACCAGGUGCCUGAAGUACCAACAGGGAAACAGAUCCCUGUCACCUGGGGGGUGACACUCGGACAUUCACAGCCUGAGGACCCUCCUCCAUCUCGCCCCAUGCCUUGUUCCUCUUUCCUGCCCUUGAGGACAUGUCAUGCAGUAUGCUUGCACCUCUGCAACAGGCAUGAUUGCACCGGAGAGCCAGUGACGGUGAGGGUUGGCUUCUGCAGAUAGGUUGGAAAAGCAUACUAGUAGAGGGACACCUGCUUGUUUUCAAUGCUCACAAUAGAUUCAUCCAGGAACAGAAAGGAGAGCUUGUCCCUGUGAAGCGCACUUUGUUUACUGAAGCUAAGCAGCGAAGUUGCUCCCCGCCCUGCUGCGCAGACAUGUUUGUGGAUUUGUUUUUCCCAAGAGCUGCUCCAGGCACUGCUCUCGGCAGCCUGAGGAGGGCAGGCCAUCUCUGGAGAAAAGCUGGAAAGGCCAAUCCUGGCUUUUCCUGUGGAUCACAGCAGGGGCAGGGAUCCCAUUCCCUGCCAUGCCAGCAGCAGAAGUGAGUAAAGCAACCAGAAUUUCAGUGCAUGUUUACAAUGGCUUUCCAGUGCCCUAGGCAGGUGCGUGCGUGUGCAUAAUUACAGUAACUACACCCCUGCUAUCACACUGUACAUCUCCAGUAGUACUUUAAUGUUCUGUAUACCUGCUCUGUGCCAUUGUAGGAGUCUUCAUGGAGGGGAAGCCCCACAGGUCUGAGACAGAUUACACAAAAGUGAAUUUUAAUCCCCAGGCAUUGAGCGUUUGGACAUGCUCCUACCACUGCCCCAUGCAGCAUAACUAAUCGCAUCCCUUCCUGUACCUCCGGACAGGCUCUGCACCUUAAAAAUCCCUUAUGGCACAACCAAAAACCAAGCUUUUAAACCCCACAAGGGAAUCUCUAAGGGACUGCCUGGCUAACGCUGGUCUCUAGGGUGCAGUAAGGAGGAGGGUAGCAAGCGUGGCUUGCCCCUAAAUCUCUCUGCCUGCCCGUGCCACCAAAAGAGAUUCAGGUUAACUGUCUGCCUUUCCCUCUCUCAGCUCCCAAAAAGCAUUUCAGAAACUCCUGAAGAGACUGAAUUCCCCAUCAGGGUGGCUAGAGCCAUGGGCUGGAUUCACUGCUGCUGCAGGCAGCUGCAAUGUCACCCAAGGCACCUGGGCUGCAGUGAAGGGAUCGGUCCCCAUUUCUAUGCCAGUGGCUUUCCCACACCAAAACAGAACUUGUUUUAGAUAAUUCCCUGAGCUGACCUCCCAAAAGCACUCGCGCUGCCCCCAGGAAGCUCCCCUCAGCUGCAGCAGGCCUGCGUGAGGGCAGGACUCUCUCACUGCGUGAGAUGCUUCGAUGCCUGUUGGCAAACCCAGGGAAGCAGGCACAUGUAAAGAACAAAGUAUUUUUCUUCAAGGAUUUCCUCCUCUUUUUGCCAAGGGCCAGAAAGCAUCUAUGCAGGGGCAAGGUUUUCUGUGCCUGGGAAAGAGCUCAUCCUCCAGGGAGGAGAGAGAAGGCGGUUUGGGAUCACAGGGUCUUUGGCACAGAGAGCCAUUCUGGUCACCAGAUGGCACUGGGGCAGGCUGGAGCUUUUGGCUGUAGAUGGUACUUGGGUACCUGCUGACCACAGCAGGAGUUUGCUGCCCGGGCACUUGGGAAAACCCUGCCGUAGCUCUGUCUGCCAUGCACAUGCAGAAAAAGCUCUCUAAAUCCUGUUCCUUGUCCGUGGCUGGGAUUCGUUAGUGCUCUCGUGGGGUAGUAACCAAAUGGGCUGUUAAGGAGAAGGAUAUGGUUCCUUUACCCUUGUGCUGGGAGAGCUUACGGUGCCACCUGCCCUCCUUGACCGGCUCUGAGCAACGCCGCAGCAUCGGGAAGGCAAGUCCUGUCCCCUCGCAUGCCGCAGGAGACGAGCAGUUCUUUCUUUGUUCCCUUUCUAUUCCUAGUGCUUGUUUUUUUUGUUCACCCUGGGAUGAAGUUACAGCUUUGCUUUUCUCCCACAGGGAUUUGAAUCAAUUAAGCGUAUUACUACCUGGCAGGUGUCCUCUGUCUCUGUCAGCAAGAAGUAGGUUCGGGGAGAGAAAAAGAGCAGGUAUUUCCUUGUCCUCUCACACACCCCUGCUGGGAGGAGGAAGGACACCCAUGUCGCUGUCUUGCUACCGAGUGUGGCUAGGAGACACUGGCCACCUCCGUUAUAGUAAAGCAGCUGAGAAGGUGCCAGAUCCAGCUUUUCAAAGGGGACCUGCUGCACAGACGAACUGGAUGUGGCUAAACCCCAAUGCCAGAGCAGGACGGGGAGCCAGCAGGACCUUCUCACACCAGCCCAAAGGGACUUCCAGCAGCACUGAGCUCCCCAGGGGUUUGCUGCACUUCUCAGCACGUUCCCUGGGCCUCCCAGAAGGUGCUGGUGCCACUGGGUGCAGAUGUCCCUGUGCAGAUGUGCCUGGCCCUGCUACUGCAACCAAGCCGGACUUGCCCAUUUUCCCAGGUAGGGAACAAGCUCUCCCCCAUUGCAGAGCAGGGACACAGCCUUGGUGCUAACCACGGGCACAGCCUUCAUGCUGCUGGCAACCCCACUCGCCCUGCGGUGCCAGCAGCCCCAAUGGCCUCGCAAAGCAGGUGGGCUCCAGCCCUUCAGCCAGGCAGCCUUUGGGGACCCCCACACUGAUCACAGCCACGUGCCGCCCCACAAGCUCCGCCUGCAGAGAGCAAAGCUGCGCCCAGCACGCAAACCUCAGGUAGGAGUCUGCUGUGCUUGCAUACCUUUGUACAACUAUUAAUUCCUCUUUUGGCUUUAAGGCCAGUUUUCAUGUUUUGUUCGAAUGAUGGGGUCCACCUCAAAGUUUAGUAGGCUUUUGCUGGGGAUUGUUACCCUCACUGUUACCAAUGUGCAUCAUAUUUCUACUGCUAGUUUCGGCUUCCAGUUACAGGCACAUCUUGGGCUGGUGUCUGCAGAAUUAAAAGCACACUGUGAAAGUUGGCUUUUCCUAGCGUUGGUCAUCUUAUGCUGUAGUAAAGGUUGAACAUCUCCGAUGAAAUACAGAGGCUGGAACUGCUUUAUUUACCACCCUCUGCUUCCCAGAGCUGGUUUUGUUUUCUCUCCUUUGCAGCUUCCUCAGUUAUUCAAGCAUCCUUCUUAAGGAGCUGAUAUGAAGUAUGGGUGUAUCAUCCCAAGAGCACAUUCUCCAGGGGGGAAUGCAACACCUUGAUGGGGCUGGCACCUUUCAUCUUGUACCCUGGUCUUACACUGCACAGUCUAACACGAGGUUUCAACCUUGCACUCACGCUGGGAUCUGGCAGUCAGUGAGAUAUUUGCCACAAGUCCAUGGCAAAAGCAUUGCAAAGUCUCUCUCUGAAUGCUGUGUUGCUAAAGGCAUGGCCCUCUGCCGACCUCUCCCCAUGGACUCUGUGUCCAUCUGUAUUCAUUUGCAGGGAUUUAAUACUUUCUCUUAAAUCAUUCCUAACUAUAUUGAGUAGCUGGGGGUAAAGGCUCCUCUUAAGUCACCCUUGCCCACUUUCUUUCUAUGAUAGUUCACUUUUGGGGCAUGUCUUGCUGUGUGCUACAUUCUGCAUUGAUAUUUCUUCCUUCAUUUCCAGUUUUGUUGUAUUUAUGACAUUGCUACACAUCUGUUUGGCUGUUUCGGUUACUCCCUGCUCAUGCAGGGAGCCGCUGGCCCGAAGGAGAUCUUUCCCUGCUAACAGCACGGACGGCUGCAGGCACGUCCAUCCCUGUGUGUGUGCGGUGGACCUCGUGGAGGAGGGAGUGGGGACAGCUGCCCUCACAGCCCUCUGCGUAUGCUGGUGCAGGCUGGCAGUGACACUCUGGGGGCAAAGUCCUGCUGAAAAAAACUCCUGCCUGUUAGCUGCUUCAGUUACCUUUUUGGUAGGCAGCCAACAGGCAAGUGAAAACAACCCCAAAAAGUCUCUGGUUUCACUAAGCUUCCUACAAAGUGAGUGCUGGAGGGUAGCCAGCCCAUGGGCUCAGGAGCCCUUAGGGCCACCGUGAGCCGUGGUUUGCUGUCCCUGCACAUGCAGCUCUAGUUUUCUUGCAGAGGAAAAACGCUAUGAUCCUUUUUACUGAGUCACCUGCAGCCGUCGUGGUCGUCGGCUUUGUCCCAGCUCGCGUUUCGCUGCUCUCGCGCGGUGACAGAUGUUGGCCCAUGCGCAGCACAGCUGCCCCCGUCCAGCCGCUCCUCCCACAGCAAACUCCGGUUGUGCAAGAGCCACGGGGCGGCUGCUCAGCAAGGGAGCUGCCCUCUUCCCCUGCAUCCGCAAGUGCUCCGCAUGUCGCCUAUAAAUCCCACGCAGGUCCACUGGGAAACGCUCUCGGAGAGACGGCACGCGUGGCAGGCAAGGCUGGGAGGUAAGGCAGGAGCCAGCGCCCACGUCCCCUGUCGAGGAUGCCAUUAAGGGGCGUGCGGCGUUAGCUCUGCACGGGUGGGAGGCCGAGAGGUGUUUGCAUCCCUCGCGUUCGGUAAGAAACCCGCCGCCACACAGCGAGCGCCCCAAACGUGCUCCACGGGCGUCCAGCGGGCCCGCCGGGGGUUGGUGAGCAAAGCCCGGGGUGAUCCUGCAACGUCAGGCCGGGGGCCAGUCCGAGAGCAAAGAGGAGGAUAAAUGCUGACGAUUGGUAUCUCCAGCCUGAUCGUGCCCAUGGUUUGAUUCAUGUCAGAGACUUUCGAGGUUAAUUGUGACAACCCCUCGGGUGAGAAAGCACGGCAGCAGCGUGCACAGGGUUAGCUGAAACCGUGUUUCCUCGACAUCAUUUCUAGCUUCUUGGCAGAAGGGUAGGAAAUUAAGCUCUGUGUGUAGCUACGUUAGUAGUGUAACUGCAUUCCUACUCUGCAAAAGAAAACAGCAAAAAAAAAAAAAGGCAAAACAAAAACCAGCAAAAUAAUGAGUAGCUUAAAUUAGCACUUAAGAACUAAAAAUCAAAUUUUCAUUUCGAAUCUGGAAAGCAAAGUACUCUUCUGGUGUUGACUUUCUCCUGAAAGGUGAAAUCGUUCGUGGGGAAUUCGACGCUGGAGAGAAAGAGUUGUGUCCAACCCCAUUCAUUUUUCUGUUGAAUUUCCCCCUCCGCCCCGUCCCUGGUGAACACGCAGUUGUCUUCUGCUGGGGCACAGGAGACAGUGGCGCUGCGUAAAGUUGCAAUACGUGAUUUUUUUUUUUCCUUUUUUUUGGAAAGGCGUUACGGCAUUGGCAGGUCUCC